GUGCUCGCUUCAGCAGCACAUAUACUAAAAUUGGAAUGAUACACAGAUUAGGAUGGCCCCUGUGCAAGGAUGACACACAGAUUCGUGAAGCAUCCCAUAUUUUU
ensembl:snRNA U6 U6 spliceosomal RNA